AAGGGGUGGGAGGCAGAGGCAACAUGCCUGGCCAGCCAGCUCAGCGCCAUCUACCCUGGCUCCUUACACACAACAAAUGCCAGGGCUGAUUGCCCUGACAUCCAGGAUGCCCUGAGGGGUGUUCCGUUCCUUCUCUGAUCCCUGGUAACUGGGAGCAAAGUGGCCAUGUGCAGAUUCUCAACCUUCUGUGCAGAGGAGGAGCUGUGAUGUGGGAGAGGGGUAUUUCUACUUUUGGUAUUUAUCUAAGGAGAUUUUCCUUCUGAAGGAUGACAACAUUUUCCCCUCCUCUAUCCCAGAUUGGAAAAUCUGAUGGCACGAUUCCAGUGCUACCAAACUCUCAGAAUUGGCCUAAAGAAAGUGGAAGUGAGAAACACACAGGCCGGUCAGAGGCACACAGCUGCCUUCUCUCCCAGCUGACUUUGGGCAACCACACAAGGCAAAGCCAGAGGAACCAAGAAAGGUAGGGACGCAGGGCCCCAGCAGUUGUGGGUCUCUGCGAGCUGUAGGGGAUGUGCAAACAGAUGGAGGUCAGUCUAUCAGGCACUGAGAACAACGUCCCCAAGUGUCCCUUUCCUUGUCUCUGUCUCCUGUCCCGAGAAAAUCACCUCCAGCCCCUGCCAUGCAGGGCACCUCAUAUCUCAUUUAAUAUACAUUUCCUGUCAAACACUCACAAAGAGAUUCCAAGUUAACUGCUCCUUACUGAGUGGCUAGUCCGUGCCAGGCAUUGCACUAGCAACUCCCCUGGACUUUAUCUUCCAUAACUCUGACAACAGAUCCUCAGUGGUGGUCAUUGGCAUAACCACAGUGUAAAGAUGAGGAAACCAAGGCCCACAAAGGUUAAUUACUCUGUCCCAAACUGCACAGCUAUAAAUUCAAGACUAUCCCCGUCUGCCAACCACUCCUCCUCUUCUCUAAUAAAAUGAAUGAGACGGAAACA
rnacentral:lncRNA from 12 species